AUUGAACGCUGGCGGCAGGCUUAACACAUGCAAGUCGAGCGGGGACUUCGGUCCUAGCGGCGAACGGGUGAGGAAUGCUUGGGAAUCUGCCCAGUAGCGGGGGAUAACGUUUCGAAAGGAACGCUAAUACCGCAUACGCCCUACGGGGGAAAGGGGGGGAUCUUCGGACCUCUCACUAUUGGAUGAGCCCAAGUCGGAUUAGCUAGUUGGUGGGGUAAAGGCCUACCAAGGCGACGAUCCGUAGCUGGUCUGAGAGGAUGAUCAGCCACACUGGAACUGAGACACGGUCCAGACUCCUACGGGAGGCAGCAGUGGGGAAUAUUGGACAAUGGGCGAAAGCCUGAUCCAGCCAUGCCGCGUGUGUGAAGAAGGCCUUCGGGUUGUAAAGCACUUUAAGCGAGGAGGGAUGGCUCUUGGUUAAUAACCUUGAGCAGUGACGUUACUCGCAGAAUAAGCACCGGCUAACUCUGUGCCAGCCGCCGCGGUAA
rnacentral:rRNA from 1 species